rnacentral:rRNA from 1 species
GACGAACGCUGGCGGCGUGCCUAAUACAUGCAAGUUGAGCGAUGAAGAUUGGUGCUUGCACCAAUUUGAAGAGCAGCGAACGGGUGAGUAACGCGUGGGGAAUCUGCCUUUGAGCGGGGGACAACAUUUGGAAACGAAUGCUAAUACCGCAUAAUAACUUUAAACAUAAGUUUUAAGUUUGAAAGAUGCAAUUGCAUCACUCAAAGAUGAUCCCGCGUUGUAUUAGCUAGUUGGUGAGGUAAGGGCUCACCAAGGCGAUGAUACAUAGCCGACCUGAGAGGGUGAUCGGCCACAUUGGGACUGAGACACGGCCCAAACUCCUACGGGAGGCAGCAGUAGGGAAUCUUCGGCAAUGGACGAAAGUCUGACCGAGCAACGCCGCGUGAGUGAAGAAGGUUUUCGGAUCGUAAAACUCUGUUGGUAGAGAAGAACGUUGGUGAGAGUGGAAAGCUCAUCAAGUGACGGUAACUACCCAGAAAGGGACGGCUAACUACGUG